rnacentral:rRNA from 1 species
CCUACGUGAGGCAGCAGUGGGGAAUAUUGCACAAUGGGGGAAACCCUGAUGCAGCAACGCCGCGUGAGUGAAGAAGUCUUUCGGUAUGUAAAGCUCUAUCAGCAGGGACGACAAUUACAGUACCUGACUAACACGCCCCGGCUCACUACGUUCCAGCAGCCGCUGUCAUACGUCGGGGGCAAGCGUUAUCCGGCUUUACUGGGUGUAAGGGGAGCGUAGACGGCUGCGCAAGUCAUAAGUGAAAGCCCGGGGCUCAACCGCGGGACUGCUUUUGAAACUGUGUAGCGAGAGGGCAGGAGAGGGAAGUGGAAUGCCUAGUGUAGCGGUGAAAUGCGUAGAUAUUAGGAGGAAAACAGGUGGCGAAGGCGGCUUACUGGACUGUAACUGACGUUGAGGCUCGAAAGCGUGGGGAGCAAACAGGAUUAGAUACCCCUGUAGUC